ACUCCUCUCACUUCCUACAUAUACUGUAAAAAUUCUAUUCUAUAUGAGAGGUUUGCAUGCUUUGCUCCCUUCCACCUCAUCCAUCCAAAUCCUGUCAGCUGAGGUCAUUCUUUUUCCCUCCGAGUUUCUGUAUCAGUUAGGAUGCUUUGGACUGCAAGUAACAGAACACAAGAAAGUGAAAACUACCACAUGAGGCUAAGGAAAGGAGUGGUGGAGAGUGUGUGUGUUCCUGAGCCCGACACAAGUGCCUUUAAUUUGCCAAG
rnacentral:lncRNA from 1 species